GCCCAGGUGACCACAGAUCUUUUCUCURUGUGUUGCAGGAUCAUUGCCGGAGGGCUCGGCCAGCCUUGAAGGUCUCUGGAGACCCCCUGGGUGCUCGCGCUGUGCACGAGUCCUCUGUGCCUGGAGCUGCUGUGGGCCAGGCUGAGCCAUGACCUCCCUCCCAGCACGUCGCGUCGGCACCCUGCGCCCAUCCCAGCUGUGGCCUCCGCUGCGCUUGGGGCCAGUCACCUGCUGACCCAAAGCCAGGCCUGCAGCUGGCAGCCCUUGGCGCUGCUCAGCAAGGAGAGGCCGGCAUCSCUGCCCGGAGCGAGUCCUGCUGAACUGCACCUCCCUCGCUGCUGUUUGCCCUUGCAAAGGCAAGUAGUGUCUCUAGUGGUAACUCCCUGUGCUAGAGGCUGCACGAAGGUGGGCCAGAGGCUCUGGGUACUAUCUGGCUUCUGGGUCUCAAUUGYGUUCUGCUUUUGGGGCAUUUUUCUGUGAACACCCUCUGCAUAGCCACUUAAUUCCCGCACCGCUGCCACAGAYGCCAUCUCCGCUGUUCAUGGGUCCAGGCGUCCAGGGCCACACGCGUCUUUCAUUCCAUUCCAGGUAGAGCCCGUCAUAGCAGGGGGG
rnacentral:lncRNA from 1 species